ACUGGAUGUAUUGGGUGGUGGUUACCACAGUGUGACUGACAGCUAGUACCGUCCAAUGGGUGCAGGUGUAGGUGGGCGUGCAGGGUCCUCUCAGUCAGGCUCCACCCCCCGCUCCUCUAAAUAUGGUCACGGUGGGUUGAUAUUUGACCUUGAGACGUUGGUGAUGCAGCAGAAUCGUUCCUGUCAUCAGAGUUUCACAUGCAUGUCAGAGCUGUUUCAGCUCCAAUAACGACACGUGUGUUUUAUUCUAUUUUCACUGCCCGUCUCUGAAUCUGUCAUGUUUAAUUUUUCCAGAAUCUACAUCGUUCAUGACGAAGUGAAGGACAAAGCGUUUGAGCUGGAGCUCAGCUGGGUCGGAGAAAUCACAAAUGGACGUCACGAGCUGGUACCUAAAGAUGUUCGAGAGGAAGCAGAGAAAUACGCCAAGGAUUCUUUAGAGGAGGACGACGACUCUGAUGAAGACAACAUGUAAACCCCCUCGUCCCUGCCGACAUCUCGGACUCUGCCCUCAAUCUUUUAUAUUGUCCACCUUUGAUUUGAGAAAAAUAAAUAAAGUCUGAAAACAGUU